GAAGCUUUCAGAUUCCCGGGCUCAUAUCAGUCCUCACCUGACCCCUGGGGCAGGACCUGAGAGCCUGCAUUUUAAGCAGGUGCCUGGGUGGCUUUAUUCCUACCGUUGACAAGAAUGCCCCAUGUUUUCUUAUUUCCAUCUUUUUAUUCUCACCUUCCCUUUGUUCCUCCCUUACGAGACUUAGCUGACAAGCCACCUACUCCAUGAAGAUUUCUUGGUGGAUCUUCUACCAUACUCCAUAUUCCUCUGAACCAAACUUCCUUCUGUGGCUUUUCUAUUAUGUGGACUGUGCUUUCUACCUUCAGGCCACACCUUUACUUUCCCCUACCUGUCAUGCCCUCAGGAGCGACAUUCUUUUAUAGAGAAGACAAAACUAUGCUUUAAGUGUCCAGUCCUCCUGCUCCUGGAGAAUGGUGAUUGGAGUUGAAGGGCUCCUGUGCACCCAUCUAAGAGGGUCCGUCCUCCCUCAUUUCUCUGUCGCUCCUGGCCCCUAGGCCUGGAAGCAGAGGCCUUGUCCUGGAGCAGUUCCCCCUUCCCCACCACACCUUGCCACUGUUAGGGAACUCACCAAUGUGGGGCAGGAGGCAUGGAAAAGGUGAGCACAAAGGGACUUCCAAGGCACUUCUGCUCCAAACAAGGUAACUGACUUCCUUGGCAUCUCCCGUCACUGAAGAAUCCAAUGUUGAAUGUUGCAGAGAAAAAAAAAUUCUUUUAUUUUGUUUUAUAUUAUGUUAUUUUCUUUUUGCUGUGCUAGGGAUCAAAUCCAGGGCAUCACAUAUCCGAAGCACAUGCUGAGCCACUGAGCUACACCCCUGGCCCCUCUAGAGAAAAACAUUAACUUACUUUCUUUCUUUCUUUUUUAACUGUACUGGGGCUCUAUUGCAGUACACCUGCUCUUCAUGUUCUCUACCACUGAGCUACAUCUCCAACCCUUUUUUCAAAAUUUUAUUUUGAGACAGGACUCAUUAAAGUGCUAAGGAUAGCCUCAAAUUUGUAAUCCUUUUGUUUCAGACUCCCAAGUAGCUGGGAUUGCAGGUGUAUGUCACCAUGCCAGCCCUAAUCAAGAAAAAACUUAGAGUACAAUACAAUUUUUGCCUUUCUAAAACCCUGUGAAAUGCUCAUUGGGGUGUGUGACCUGCAUUUCCUUAAUUUUUCUGAAUACUUAACAGCGCACUGGAAGAAUAAAGAAGUAGGGACCCCUGAGGGAUAUAAGCACUGAAGCCAGGAGGUCAGGGCUUUCCCCAGAUGAUAUAGCUCAUCCCAUGGAAUAAGGGCCAUGCACAAGACAGAUGAGACCAGGGCCUUUGUCGGAGGCCUCACAACCUCAAGUGCCUUCUGAAGGAGGGGCCCCGGGUCCCCUUAGGAGCAUUCUCCCCUGCACCCAGCAGCUUCCCUGGCAAUGGAGAGAAGGAUGUGUACAUCAAAGACUUCAUGGAGAAACAGCAUUUUAAAAGAAGAUGAAGAACACUGAUGGCAGUCGAAGGGGCUCAUAUUUCUAUAGCAAGGACUGUCAGGAGCUCUAUUGUGGCCUGCAGAGCAAGAAUAAUGUCCCAAGUGUAUGAUGGGUAAGGAAAGGCACCAUCAAAGAACCACCAAUUGACCGGAAGGCGGAGAAGGGAAGGAUAGUAACAUUUUGGUAUUGAGAUUUUCACAAGCACACAAGAAUUAUUAGAGAAGGUUGACACAGAGAG
rnacentral:lncRNA from 1 species